rnacentral:miRNA from 1 species
CUACCUCGUCGCCCCUGCGGAGGCAGGGGCCUAUGUCUGUAUCCUCAUGCCACUCCGCCCGGAGGCGAAAGACAUGGGCCCCUGCCUGCGCAGGGGCGACGUGA